UACGUAGGGUGCGAGCGUUAAUCGGAAUUACUGGGCGUAAAGGGCGCGCAGGCGGCAGACCAAGUCAGGCGUGAAAGCCCCGGGCUUAACCUGGGAGGUGCGUCUGGGACUGGUAUGCUAGAGUCCGGGAGAGGAGAGUGGAAUUCCCAGUGUAGAGGUGAAAUUCGUAGAUAUUGGGAAGAACACCGGUGGCGAAGGCGGCCAUCUGGACGGUAACUGACGCUGAGACGCGAAAGCGUGGGGAGCAAACAGG
rnacentral:rRNA from 1 species